rnacentral:sRNA from 1 species
GCCGGGCGUGGCGCACCCACCUGUAAUCCCAGCAGUGUGGGAGGCUGAGGCAGGAGGAUCGCGAGUUCAAAGCCAGCCUCAGCCUCUGCGAGGCUCUGAGCAGCUCAGUGAGACCCUGUCUCUA